rnacentral:rRNA from 1 species
AUUGAACGCUGGCGGCAGGCCUAACACAUGCAAGUCGAACGAGUGGCGGACGGGUGAGUAACGUCCGGGAAACUGCCCGAAGGAGGGGGAUAACUACUGGAAACAGUAGCUAAUACCGCAUACCAUCGGAUGUGCCCAGAUGGGAUUAGCUAGUAGGUGGGGUAACGGCUCACCUAGGCGACGAUCCCUAGCUGGUCUGAGAGGAGGAACAGCCAUCCUGGAACUGAGAGACGGUCCGGACUCCUACGGGAGGCAGCAGUGGGGAAUAUUGCACAAUGGGCGCAAGCCUGAUGCAGUCAUGCCGCGUGUAUGAAGAAGGCCUUCGGGUUGUAAAGUACUUUCAGCGAGGAGGCGUUACUCGCAGAAGAAGCAUCGGCUAACUCCGUGCCAGCAGCCGCGGUAAUUC